rnacentral:rRNA from 1 species
UACGUAGGGUGCAAGCGUUAAUCGGAAUUACUGGGCGUAAAGCGUGCGCAGGCGGUUUUGUAAGUCUGUCGUGAAAGCCCCGGGCUCAACCUGGGAAUUGCGAUGGAGACUGCAAGGCUUGAAUCUGGCAGAGGGGGGUAGAAUUCCACGUGUAGCAGUGAAAUGCGUAGAGAUGUGGAGGAACACCGAUGGCGAAGGCAGCCCCCUGGGUCAAGAUUGACGCUCAGGCACGAAAGCGUGGGGAGCAAAAGGG